CGUAGGGUGCGAGCGUUAAUCGGAAUUACUGGGCGUAAAGCGUGCGCAGGCGGUUUGUUAAGAUAGGCGUGAAAUCCCCGGGCUCAACCUGGGAACUGCGCUUAUGACUGGCAAGCUAGAGUACGGCAGAGGGGGUGGAAUUCCACGUGUAGCAGUGAAAUGCGUAGAGAUGUGGAGGAACACCAAUGGCGAAGGCAGCCCCCUCGGGUCGAUACUGACGCUCAUGCACGAAAGCGUGGGUAGCAAACAGGAUUAGAUACCCUGGUAGUCCACGCCCUAAACGAUGUCAACUAGGUGUUGGGAGGGUAAAACCUUUUAGUACCGGAGCUAACGCGUGAAGUUGACCGCCUGGGGAGUACGGCCGCAAGGUUA
rnacentral:rRNA from 1 species